GGUCCCGCUGGAGUCUGCCUAACCAGGCUGCCGAGAAAAGCCUCGGCGGGGAGUGCAUCUUGUGACCGUACCGCAAACGGACACACGUAGGCGAGGCGAGAAGCCUCAGGUGCUCGAGUGAACUGUGGAGAAGGAACUCGGCAAAAUGUCCCCGUAACUUCGGGAGAAGGGGAGCCGGUGGUACUUGAACGCCCCUCGCGGGCGCAAGGGGAAGCCGGCCGCAGAGAAUCGGCCCAAGCGACUGUUUAGCAAAAACACAGGUGUCUGCGAAGUCGUGCAAGACGACGUAUAGGCACUGACGCCUGCCCGGUGCCGGAAGGUUAAGAGGAGGAGUCAGUCCCCUUCGGGGGGUGAAGCCCUGAAUCGAAGCCCCGGUAAACGGCGGCCGUAACAAUAACGGUCCUAAGGUAGCGAAAUUCCUUGUCGGGUAAGUUCCGACCUGCACGAAUGGCGUAACGACUUGGGCGCUGUCUCCUCCACAAGCUCGGCGAAAUUGGAGUCUCGGUGAGGAUACCGAGUACCCGCGACAGGACAAAAAGACCCCGUGCACCUUUACUGCACCCUGACAUUGUUCUUCGGCACCACUUGUGUAGCAUAGGUGGGAGGCUACGAGGCGGGCCCGCCAGGGCUCGUGGAGCCAUCAGUGAAAUACCACCCUGGUGAUGUUGGAGAUCUAACCUGACGCCCCUGAAGCGGGGCGAGGGACCGUGUCAGGCGGGCAGUUUGACUGGGGCGGUCGCCUCCUAAAGCGUAGCGGAGGCGCGCAAAGGUUCCCUCAGCGCGGUCGGCAAUCGCGCGUAGAGAGCGUAAACGCACAAGGGAGCUUGACUGCGAGACCAACAAGUCGAGCAGGUGCGAAAGCAGGCGUUAGUGAUCCGGCGGUUCCGUGUGGAAGGGCCGUCGCUCAACGGAUAAAAGGUACGCCGGGGAUAACAGGCUUAUCGCCCCCGAGAGUUCACAUCGACGGGGCGGUUUGGCACCUCGAUGUCGGCUCAUCGCAUCCUGGGGCUGGAGAAGGUCCCAAGGGUCCGGCUGUUCGCCGGUUAAAGCGGUACGCGAGCUGGGUUCAGAACGUCGUGAGACAGUUCGGUCUGUAUCCGUCGUGGGCGUUGGAAGAUUGAUGGACGCCGUCCCUAGUACGAGAGGACCGGGACGGACCGACCUCUGGUGUACCGGUUGUCGUGCCAACGGCAGUGCCGGGUAGCUAAGUCGGGACGGGAUAACCGCUGAAAGCAUCUAAGUGGGAAGCCCCUCCAGAGAUGAAUCUUCCCGGGGACUCGAUCCCCCUGAAGGGCCGUGGGAGACCACCACGUCGAUAGGCGGCAGGUGCAGGGCGCGCGAGCGCUACAGCCGAGCCGUACUAAGGGCCCGUGCGGCUUGACCG
rnacentral:rRNA from 1 species